UACCAGCACCCCGAGUGGUCGGGACGAUUAUUGGGCCUAAAGCAUCCGUAGCCGGUUCUACAAGUCUUCCGUUAAAUCCACCUGCUCAACAGAUGGGCUGCGGAGGAUACUAUAGAGCUAGGAGGCGGGAGAGGCAAGCGGUACUUAGUGGGUAGGGGUAAAAUCCGUUGAUCCAUUGAAGACCACCAGUGGCGAAGGCGGCUUGCCAGAACGCACUCGACGGUGAGGG
rnacentral:rRNA from 1 species